AGAGUUUGAUCCUGGCUCAGGAUGAACGCUGGCGGCGUGCCUAAUACAUGCAAGUCGAGCGAACGGACGAGAAGCUUGCUUCUCUGAUGUUAGCGGCGGACGGGUGAGUAACACGUGGAUAACCUACCUAUAAGACUGGGAUAACUUCGGGAAACCGGAGCUAAUACCGGAUAAUAUUUUGAACCGCAUGGUUCAAAAGUAAAAGACGGUCUUGCUGUCACUUAUAGAUGGAUCCGCGCUGCAUUAGCUAGUUGGUAAGGUAACGGCUUACCAAGGCAACGAUGCAUAGCCGACCUGAGAGGGUGAUCGGCCACACUGGAACUGAGACACGGUCCAGACUCCUACGGGAGGCAGCAGUAGGGAAUCUUCCGCAAUGGGCGAAAGCCUGACGGAGCAACGCCGCGUGAGUGAUGAAGGUCUUCGGAUCGUAAAACUCUGUUAUUAGGGAAGAACAUAUGUGUAAGUAACUGUGCACAUCUUGACGGUACCUAAUCAGAAAGCCACGGCUAACUACGUGCCAGCAGCCGCGGUAAUACGUAGGUGGCAAGCGUUAUCCGGAAUUAUUGGGCGUAAAGCGCGCGUAGGCGGUUUUUUAAGUCUGAUGUGAAAGCCCACGGCUCAACCGUGGAGGGUCAUUGGAAACUGGAAAACUUGAGUGCAGAAGAGGAAAGUGGAAUUCCAUGUGUAGCGGUGAAAUGCGCAGAGAUAUGGAGGAACACCAGUGGCGAAGGCGACUUUCUGGUCUGUAACUGACGCUGAUGUGCGAAAGCGUGGGGAUCAAACAGGAUUAGAUACCCUGGUAGUCCACGCCGUAAACGAUGAGUGCUAAGUGUUAGGGGGUUUCCGCCCCUUAGUGCUGCAGCUAACGCAUUAAGCACUCCGCCUGGGGAGUACGACCGCAAGGUUGAAACUCAAAGGAAUUGACGGGGACCUGCACAAGCGGUGGAGCAUGUGGUUUAAUUCGAAGCAACGCGAAGAACCUUACCAAAUCUUGACAUCCUUUGACAACUCUAGAGAUAGAGCCUUCCCCUUCGGGGGACAAAGUGACAGGUGGUGCAUGGUUGUCGUCAGCUCGUGUCGUGAGAUGUUGGGUUAAGUCCCGCAACGAGCGCAACCCUUAAGCUUAGUUGCCAUCAUUAAGUUGGGCACUCUAAGUUGACUGCCGGUGACAAACCGGAGGAAGGUGGGGAUGACGUCAAAUCAUCAUGCCCCUUAUGAUUUGGGCUACACACGUGCUACAAUGGACAAUACAAAGGGCAGCGAAACCGCGAGGUCAAGCAAAUCCCAUAAAGUUGUUCUCAGUUCGGAUUGUAGUCUGCAACUCGACUACAUGAAGCUGGAAUCGCUAGUAAUCGUAGAUCAGCAUGCUACGGUGAAUACGUUCCCGGGUCUUGUACACACCGCCCGUCACACCACGAGAGUUUGUAACACCCGAAGCCGGUGGAGUAACCUUUUAGGAGCUAGCCGUCGAAGGUGGGACAAAUGAUUGGGGUGAAGUCGUAACAAGGUAGCCGUAUCGGAAGGUGCGGCUGGAUCACCU
rnacentral:rRNA from 1 species